rnacentral:lncRNA from 1 species
CUCCCUCUUUUCUCUCCGAUUGCUCCACUUCUCCACCUCUGGCACCGACAUCCCUCCUCCCUUCUCCUCCUUCUUCAUCAUCCUCUUUCUCCUUGCCCCUUUCUUCUCCUCAUUAUCCUUUUCUUUCAAGUUCAUCUAUGAGCCUUCUUCCUCCAUAGUGGCUCCUUUACCUCUGUCCAUUUCUUGCCAAUGACCCUUCCUCCCUCCUCCUCCCCUUUCUCCUCACCUACUUCUCCUCCUCUUUCUCUUCAAGCCCGCCCAUAAGCCGUCUUUCUCCAUGGUGGCUUCUUCUCUUCCACUUUUCCUCCUCCUCCAAGCCCGCCCAUAAGCUAUCCCUCUCCAUGGCAGCUCCCUCCACUUUCUCCCCUUUUUUAUUAGUGACCCCUCCUCCUCCUCUUCUCCUUUCUCAUCCACUUCUCCUUCUUGUCCUCCUCUACCUCUAAGCCUACCCACAAGCCCUCCCCUCUACCUUUGUCCAUUCAUCUUCAACGACCUCUCCUUCCCCCUCCUUUCUUUUCUCUUCAUCCAGUUCUUCUCUUCCUCCUCUUCCUCCAAGCAUGUCC